rnacentral:rRNA from 1 species
GACGAACGCUGGCGGCGUGCUUAACACAUGCAAGUCGAACGGUGACCCAGGGCUUGCCCUGGUGAUCAGUGGCGAACGGGUGAGUAACACGUGGGCAACCUGCCCCUGACUUCGGGAUAACUCCUCGAAAGAGGAGCUAAUACCGGAUACGACCACUUCGGACAUCCGAUGGUGGUGGAAAGUUUUUCGGUCAGGGAUGGGCCCGCGGCCUAUCAGCUAGUUGGUGGGGUAAUGGCCUACCAAGGCGACGACGGGUAGCCGGCCUGAGAGGGCGACCGGCCACACUGGGACUGAGACACGGCCCAGACUCCUACGGGAGGCAGCAGUGGGGAAUAUUGCGCAAUGGGCGAAAGCCUGACGCAGCGACGCCGCGUGAGGGAUGAAGGCCUCGGUUGUAACCUCUUUCAGCAGGACGAAGCGAAAGUGACGGUACCUGCAGAAGAAGCACCGGCUAACUACGUGCCAGCAGCCGCGGUAAU